rnacentral:rRNA from 1 species
UACGGAGGGUGCAAGCGUUGUUCGGAAUCAUUGGGCGUAAAGAGCGUGUAGGCGGCCGGGUAAGUCAGAUGUGAAAUCCCUUGGCUUAACCAAGGAAGUGCAUUUGAAACUACCCGGCUUGAGUACGGGAGAGGGAAGUGGAAUUCCCGGUGUAGAGGUGAAAUUCGUAGAUAUCGGGAGGAACACCGGUGGCGAAGGCGGCUUCCUGGACCGAUACUGACGCUGAGACGCGAAAGCGUGGGGAGCAAACAGG